GAUGAACGCUGGCGGCGUGCCUAAUACAUGCAAGUCGAACGAAACUUCUUUAUCACCGAGUGCUUGCACUCACCGAUAAAGAGUUGAGUGGCGAACGGGUGAGUAACACGUGGGCAACCUGCCCAAAAGAGGGGGAUAACACUUGGAAACAGGUGCUAAUACCGCAUAACCAUAGUUACCGCAUGGUAACUAUGUAAAAGGUGGCUAUACUACCGCUUUUGGAUGGGCCCGCGGCGCAUUAGCGAGUUGGUAGGGUAAAGGCUUACCAAGGCAAUGAUGCGUAGCCGAAUUGAGAGGUUGAUCGGCCACAUUGGGACUGAGACACGGCCCAAACUCCUACGGGAGGCAGCAGUAGGGAAUCUUCCACAAUGGGCGAAAGCCUGAUGGAGCAACGCUGCGUGGGUGAAGAAGGUCUUCGGAUCGUAAAACCCUGUUGUUAGAGAAGAAAGUGCGUGAGAGUAACUGUUCACGUUUCGACGGUAUCUAACCAGAAAGCCACGGCUAACUACGUG
rnacentral:rRNA from 1 species